GGGGCCAUAAUAAAAAUUUAAUCAUACUUUUCUGUCGUUAUGCACAUCUACAUAGUAUGUCCUUAUUAAUCACAAAGUUUCAUGAAAUUUUGUUGUGAUGACAAGAACAGGACCCACUGGUCGAAUCCACAGACCUCAGUACACAAGGCUUUUAAUGAUCAAACCAACAAUUUCCCCACACUAGGUACAAGAACAGAACAUGGAAAAGAAUAUACAGAAUUAAAAUGUUGAAAAUGAUUUAAUAUGAAAUGCUGUAAAAACAAAACGUAUAACAAUAAGUAUCACAAGGUUAAGAAUUAAUGAAAUUUCCUUAAAUCAUCAAAAAUUUGCCUUGCUUGUAAGCAGGUAUACCAAUUACAUAUUGCACUAUUUCUGAUUUUACAGUUCAUGAGAUCUAUCACAAUUAACAACCAUCUGACAUAGUAGGAUGCCACAUAGACUUAAAAACAUUACUUCAUACAGACUAGAGUUCAUCACGAUUAAAGAAAGACUUAUUGGCAUAUAUCUUACAGUCAAAGAGAAAACCACAUUACUUUUUUCAUGUAAACAAAUAAGAACUGGAUUUGAUUAAGCACAUGAUUUAAGGUAGCACUACUAUAAAACAAUAACAAUAAAAAAAAAACGCAUUAUCAAAUCAAUUCUCAUUAAGAUGGAAUUAAAAAAUAAAACAUAAAAUGAAAAUUGGUUAAGUUUGAUAAGGUUCUUUAAACUUAAAAAAUAAUGCCCGCUUUCCAAUCAAUGACGAACCUUCUCCCAGACAGGCCGUUCAGCAUUUAGACAAUUCUAGUUUCAACACUAUCAUUUGUUAUCAAAUAACGGUUGCCCAAUAGUGAUUACCUAACUGAACAGAUUCAGCUGUUGGUUCACUUGGUAAUAAUAUUUUUCCUUCCACAUAUCCAGGACAUAAUCCUAUGUAGUCUAGGAAGUCUCCAGAUAUUCAGUCUUCACGCCGAGUGGCAGCCCAGGCAGCCCAGGCUGGUAAAAUUGCUCUCGGGCCUGUAAAAAUCAGACCUACAGGCCAACAGAAUCUAACUAAAAAUUUCAAAAAUUGAGCU
rnacentral:lncRNA from 1 species